GACGAACCGUGCAAACGUUAUUCGGAAUUACUGGGCGUAAAGGGCUCGUAGGCGGCCAACUAAGUCAGACGUGAAAUCCCUCGGCUUAACCGGGGAACUGCGUCUGAUACUGGAUGGCUUGAGUUUGGGAGAGGGAUGCGGAAUUCCAGGUGUAGCGGUGAAAUGCGUAGAUAUCUGGAGGAACACCGGUGGCGAAGGCGGCAUCCUGGACCAACACUGACGCUGAGGAGCGAAAGCCAGGGGAGCAAACGGG
rnacentral:rRNA from 1 species